AGAAUUCCUUGCUAGCACUUUACCCCAGAACAACAUGCUAGCUCUUCACCUUAGGGCUUCCUGCUAGACCUUCCCAACUGCUGCUGCCAGCAGGAGGUGCAAACCAGAUGAAAGUUGGAUCUUCCUACCUCAAAGAUACAGAUUAAAAAUGUGUCUUCCUGCUUCAAGUGAUAUCAUGAAGAAAAAGAAAACUCCUUCACAGGUUCACCCAGCCAUUUGUGUUUCAGUUAAUUCCCAAGGCAGUCAGUCACCUUGGCACCCAAGCAUAGCCAUCGCACCGAGCCACCAUCUAAUCCAAGUUGCCUUCCCAUAUAUGAGAUCCUCACAGAUGUCAGCCCAUUAAAGAUACCAGCAAGAUAGACACCAGCUCUUCCCAGAUAGACACCAGCACUUCUUCUCAGAUACCAGCGCAUUCCAUCCACCGUCUUAACACCAGGCUAAGCCCACCUACAACCAUCCACCAUGCGGUUCCAGUUUCCAUGCCAUCUCGGUCAACAUCUUUGCCCAGCAUCUAACCCCAGUCAACAUCUGGGCUGUAGCCUUAAGAUCAACCUCAAGGGAGCACUGCCCAGCUGAACCCAACCACUGCCAGGAGAUUUGGAGUUGUUCCUUGGGAGCUUUGCGGCUUAGCGUUGGAUGAUGGGACCUCUGACCUCAUCUUGCACUGUCCAAUCAGUCCAAAGUUUAGAGGGACCACACUAUGGGUCAAAGUACGAUCUUCAGCAUUUCACCUUCGAGGCACAUGAACAGCCAGAAGAAACACCUGUCUUCUUGGGAAACCCUGUAGGUGGUCCCCGCAGAUCUUUCCCUUGGGCACUGGUCCACUCUCAGAGUCCUCUUCUCCAGCAGAUGUUCACCACUCCCAACGCAGACUCUGGCCUACUUUUUUUCCCCUCCCCACUGCAUGCAGAUGGAUCAUUAAGGGCCACCAGGUGGAAGGAGAGAAGCUAUUCUGCAAGUUGUUCCCUGACUCCAUGUGGAUGCCAGGUCGUGGCUGCAACACCCCAUGACCCCACAUGGAUGCCAGGCCGUGGCUGCAAUGCCCCAUGACCCCAUAUGGAUGCCAGGUCAUGGCUGCAAUGCCCCAUGACCCCACACGGACGCCAGGCCAUGGCUGCAAUGCCCCAUGACCCCACAUGGACGCCAGGUCGUGGCUGCAAUGCCCCAUGACCCCACAUGGACACCAGGUCGUGGGUGCAACACCCCAAAUAAAUAGGCAAGUGAAAUCUAA